GAAAACUAAUAUUAAAGCCUUGCGAGGUUCCGGUUGGCAUCUCGACAAUGAAUAUCUAUUGGGACGUCGCGACGGUUGUCACGGGCUCGAGGGGAGUAUCGGGUCAUGACAGUCUGCGAAUGUAGGGUGUCUUGUAGAUGAAGAUAGUGGGUCAACCUAACUAAAUGCGUGAGUCAUGUCUAGUACUUUUCUUACGUGCAGAGUAGUUUUGGGUGGAGCAGGUGAAAAUGUGUAAGUAUGAAUGAAUGAUAUUCUGUGCAAUUAGUUACAUUCAUAUUUUUUGUUUGUUAUGUACUAAUG
rnacentral:lncRNA from 1 species